GGAGAGGUGGCCACCAUGUUGUGUGGAAGUGUUGGCUGAACAGGCUCAACAUGGCUCCCACAAGGAUCAGCUCAGCCCAGAGUGAGCUUGUGCAAGGCAUGCCCAUGCUGAGAGGAGGCUUGUUUGCAGCAACAGACAUGGCAGCUGAGACUAAGGAAACUGGAGACCCAAUCGCAAAGGACAUAGAGAAAACUGAGGUACCCAAUGACUUCUUUGUUACAAUCUUCACUGGCAAGGGCUCUAGCUGCACCGCCCAAACUGCAGAAAGCAAAGUGUAUGAUAUGAACAAUCUCUGGAAGGUCAACAAACUUUGUUGAAUAUGUUGGAAUGUCAAAGCUGAGUUUAACAGAAAGUCAUUGAGCAGGCACACUGGACUGGGAAGGCAAAAAGGGU
rnacentral:lncRNA from 1 species